CAAGUACACAGGGAGAUCGCGGGGGCUUCGGCCUCCGAGGAAAGUCCGAGCUUCAUAGGGCAAGGUGCUGGUUAACGGCCAGUCGGGGUAACUCGAAGGAAAGUGCCACAGAAAGUAAACCGCCAGGCUUCGGCCUGGUAAGGGUGAAAGGGUGCGGUAAGAGCGCACCGCUCGUUUGGUGACAAACGGGGCACGGUAAACCCCACUCGAAGCAAGACCAGAUAGAGGUGGCGUGACCCGCGCAAUGACUUCGGGUUGGUUGCUUGAGCUAGUUUGCAAAUUCUAGCCUAGAUGAAUGAUCUCCACCGACUGCGGGUAACCAAGGUCGGGACAGAACUCGGCUUACGGUGUACUUGGACG
rnacentral:RNase_P_RNA from 1 species